GAAAAAGCCACGUAUACAUCAUAGUAAUUAAAUAAAUGAAAAAGAAAAAGAAAAGAAAAAAAAUGGAAAAGUUCGAUCCGUACAAUCUAUCUAUCUAUCUAUAUAUAUACAUGUAUUUUAAGCUACAUUUUGCUUACAUGUCACUUCACCAAUGAUCCCCUUUCUAACUUUUAUUCUUGAUCAUUCUACUACUUUGCUUAUGUGUCACUCCUUCAAGCCAUUAUACAUAAUACUUUUGAUAAAAAGAGUUACACUAAUCAAUUGCAAUCUUAAUAAGAAAGAACUUUUACAUCCUUCAUUCUUAUAACCCCUUCAACUACUAUUUUUUAAAAACAUUGAUUAUUUGUU
rnacentral:lncRNA from 1 species